AGAGAAAGAGAAAAAAAAUACACAGAUUUUUUUUUCUUUUUCACAGUUUUUUUUUGGACACAAAAUUGAGACCAUUAAAUGAACAGAAACAUUUAUAACCACCCAUCCUUUAAAGUUAAAGAGAAAGGUAUUCCUACAAAACAGCAAUUUUCCCUUCCAACACAAAAAUUUCACUAGAAUUGUUCAAUUCAUUUGUUGGUCUUUGUGCCAACUGCCAACCAACAAAAGAGCAAAGAAAAAAAAAAUAUAGGGAAAAAUAAAACACCAAAUGUCUGCUGCUUGUGGAAGUUUACAACAUAUAUUUGAGAAGCCAUUACCUGAAAAUCCAUCACUGAUUGAAUCCAUUUCAUCUUCAUGGAAUCAGUCUAAAUCAUUGAAACAUAUAGAUGACUCUUCAUUUACUGAGAUUUUCGGAGAAUUACAUUUCAAAGAAAACAACUGUGUUACCGUGUCUACGUCCUCCUCCUUUUCGUCCUCGUCUGUUGGUUCAUCUUCAUCUUCUUUUUCUUCUUGUUUACCUUUGUCAUCUGCAUCAUCGUCGUUUUCUUCUACUUCUUCGUCGUUUUUCCUUGAUGCUGCAAUUCAUCAAUCUGAAAUUGAAGGGCUUGACAAUAAUAAGGACAAGUAUGAAAGAAAUAGCAAGAGUCCUGUUUCAAGUUACUCUAAAAUUACAAGCAAUAAGAGUAAACAGGACAGGCAUAAUGAUAGCUUGUCAUCAAGAACAUCAGAUAGCUUAUCGAUGUGUACAGAAGGACUUGGAUUCGAGAGCUCUGAUGAUGUUGAGGACCUAAUGAAUGAUUUGAGAAACGAAGAUCUUCCUCAUAAUCAUCAACAAGAACAAGAACAAGAACAAAAACAACAAGGUAGGAGGACGCGGAUAUCUUGCAGGCUAGAGAAUCGAGUGUUCUUCAAUCAAGAUUAUAAUUCUAAGAGAUCAAGAACGAAAAAGAGGUCGUCAUUUCCACCUCCCAUUUCUUGCAUAGGAAGAAGUGGGAAGCCAUGGGUUUGCUUUAAAUCAUUCAGGGAAGAUGGAAGGUUUAUACUUAAAGAAAUUCGAAUUCCCACUCAGGAAUUCCUACAUGCAUGCAGAGAAGAUGGACGUUUGAUGAUGCACGUUAUUCAAUCUGAUGAUGAGAUUGUAGACGAAGACGAGGACGAUGAAGAUGAAGAUGAAGACGACGAUGAUGAUGGUGAUAAUAAUGAUGAAAAUAAUGUUGAAGAAGGACAUGAUAAUAAGCAUGUAUAGGAGUUAAACAUCAUCAAAAACAAACUGUUUUUGUUUCAUAGUAUUUUUUCUUUUUCCUUUUUGUUUUGGUUUUCUUGUGUCUUUCUAUAUUCCGAUGUUGCAGGAAGCUACAAGAUGAUGUUUCAAAGCUCUGCUUUUUUUUUCCUCUCUUUUAUCUGCAAAAUCUGCAAAUAAAGAAAAACUGCAAGCGGAAUUCUUAAUUCCAAAAUUUGAUUGAAUUUUACUUCAGAUUUUUGUGUGUC